UUAUACACUGUAAAAUUUUUCCAGGAUUUCACAAGAUAUAACUGUAAUAUUUCACAGUUAAUUACAUUAUUACCACUUCACAGGCUUUAACUGUGAUAAUUCACAAUAUAAUACCGUAUUUAGACUUUUACUGUGAAAAUAAUGCAGGCGCGGGGCUUUUACAAGAAACUACUGUGAAUGCCGUCUUUUUUGAGUGGCAACUGCGGCAGCGUCAUCAGAGCGUCAUCAGAGCUCUCUGAUCUACAUGGUCUCAUUCGGUGGAUUCAGACAGCGGUAAGUGUUUAAAUGUCAAACUUUAUCAAUUUGAUGUUUUUUUCAUAUGAUAGUGCAUGUAAUUUAAAAGUAUGAACCAAAUUAGCGUUAGUUGUAGGUUCUGUUGUCAUGUUUUUGUAACUUAGCUGGAGCAGACUGGCAUCGACGUUUAAGCGCGCAAAUUUGAAUGAAAAGACGUUGGUUGUAGUGUUAAUUAUACCGUAUUAAGUUAACUGUGAGAUGUCUGAUUAGAUACACCGUCGAACAUUUAACUUUAGCUUUACUUAAAGCUUAUCUUAGUUACUCUAACAGCGUUCUCUCUUUUACCACAGCAUUUUCUACAUUGACCGACGAUAAAUAAAGUUAUAAGGUAAGAUGUGGCCUUAAUGUGGGUAUUAUGACAGUUAUUAUCAACUAGAUAAAUUAUGGUGUUUGUGGAUUUGGGCAAAGGUGGAUUAAAUUCAUCUCAAAUUAGUAACUUUAUAAUUUUCUUCCCUGCUGUGUGUGUGAAACGGAGCAACCGUUGUCUUUCUCGUCAACAGAAAAAUGAAUGGGGGGCUUCAUCCAGCUGAGUUCACGCAGCAUUUUCAACCGCCAUUUUUAUUCGGAUAAUUUUCAAAAUAUUACUGUUAUUGUGUCAUGAAAUGUAGUUUUAAAAGUAUUUCAGGCGAGAAUGUAGUUGUUUUAAACUCAAAUAUGCGGUUUAUUUAUAAUGACAGCGUCUAUUUAAAAAAUGUGUUUCGCCGAUCUCGGAGAUGAGCUCCAUGCGAUCAGCGGGAGCUCCGUCAUCAUGUAUCCGCCGAGAGUAGCCUUACCUCGGCUAGAUCUUCUGACAUUUGCCGCUGGCUCUGAUGUGUCUUUAGUGGUUCAAGAUAAAAUAUAAUUCAUUUGGGGUAAAAUGAAACGUUUCUUAUCUUUGGCCUAUAUUCAAUUUAUCUAUUAAUAUGUUUUAUAUAUAUAUAUAUAUAUAUAUAUAUAUAUAUAGGUCAUUUUUAUUCCUGUCUCUAUAGAAAUAUGAACUUUUGUCAUAUAGCUCCGGUUGACUGCUCACUGACAACAUCUGUCGUUCCUCCUUGUUGAAUGAGUGGAGAAGGGUAUUCCUGCACAACCGGAGGCUGCAGGAACAUACUGUUGAGUUCAAAUUUUUCAACUCGGGCGGCAGACGCGAAUUCGCGUCAAACGCUAAAUGCACAAAAAGCACCAUUCGCGCUUAACGCGCGUUUCGCGCGAAGCGCUCUAUUCGCGCGUCAAUUCGCGUCUUCCGCGCCGCGCUUAACGCCCCAUUCGCGCCGCGAGACCUCCAGACGCGCGUAAACGCGCCUUUGCAUUGACUUAACAUUGAAAUCAUUCGCGCCAGACGCUCUAUUAGCGUAUGGUGUGAACACAGCAUUAUACGCAGCUAAAAAGCUGGUGUGGACGGAGAUAUUCGUUUUAAUUCUCCGUUUCUAAACGAAAACGCAGUAGUGUGGACGGGGCCUUAAUUUGUGUGUCUGUGCUGGAGACCAGACCAGAUUAGACCAGAGACAAAGCUUAAAAAAGUCAGAAACAACUAGAAAACUGGGUGCUUUAUUGUGAAAAAGAUAUAAGAAAUGAAAUGUUUAUCACAUCAUCUGUGAACGGGUAAUAAUUCUAGGAGGAAGAGUACAAGUAGAAACAGCCAUAGGGAGAUGGACAGACAACAGGCUCUUACUCCAUCCUCUGCAAACGGAACAUGUAAAUUAUGUAAAUUGUUGUGUGCCAAUGCUUUGCCUAGGUAAAUCACACACCUCUACUUUGGUGAAGGCCUAUUCUUGACUGUGUUUGUGAUGGAAAUGUUUUUCAGUUCAGUUCCAUGCAUUUUUUUUUCUGAAUUGCAGUACUUACACCUGAAUUACACCUUUGUUUAAACUGAGCUAACUUUAAUUUGACUCUGUACUGCAAAAGCAGUGACCCACUGAAGGUGGUGACUGGGAACUGACACCUUUUUCAUCACACGAAUUAAACUAACAGGUUUCUUCUGUCUUUUUGUUUGUAGGUGCUUCUUGGGCAUCAACCCAGAGACGGGCACAAAAUCUAAGAGGCAGAGAGGUCACAUGAACCAGCAAGUCUGCACUCUUAUCAGGAAGCUCAUUGACUUCGAAUGGAUGUCAAUCUAAUUGGAUAGAACCCACACUAUGCAGGUGCCAGCUGCGAGGGAAGGAGCGAGAUACCUGCGACCCUCUCUAUUCCCACCUUUUUGUCUUUUCUUACAUCUCUCUCCCUCACUCUCUCUUCUGUCUCCUUCUUUCUCUUUUGACACACAUUCCUGUUACCCAGUGUCAAUCCCUGUUGCCCAGUGUUUUAUUCAUGUAAUUAAAUUGUAUUUUACUUCUAAAAAAUAAAAGUUAUGUCACUGUU